GUGGUGAGCCCUAUCCUACCUGUCUGCUUGUCCCAACCUUAGCAGCACCUACAUUAUUGCCUCGACAAACCCCUCCCGCGGAUUGUGCCUCGUUCCCAGCCGUUAGAAAGAAUGUAGGAGAGAACGAGGUCAAUCACGUGAUUCUAGAAGCUACCUGUCCAUCGUCCAGAGAGAGAGUCAGCCAGCCCCGUUAUAAUACACACCAGUUCCCAUUGAUCACCCAGCUACCCAACUGAUUUAGGGUAACGGACUUUA